CCGGUGCCCUUGUGCGUGACGACGAAGGCGAAGACGGUGAGGCCGAGGAGGACGACGAUGAGCAGGAACAUGGCGACGAGGUAGAACCAGAGGAGGCAGGUGACGCGGCAGCAGGCGCCGACGAGCCCCGCGAUGGAGACGAGCAUGAGGAACACCCCCACCGCGAUCACCGGCGCCGCCAGGUAGCGCUCGCACUCGGUGCCGUCGGCGCGCGCCCGCAGCCAGAUGCCGCCCGCCAGGAUGGGCACCGAGAGCAGGAAGGUCACCGCGUUCAGGAUCCCGAUCACCGUGUUGCUUAGCCGCACCAUCUUGGCGCCGGCGGGGGGUCGCGUCCGCGGUGGCGUGCGGUUUCUUGGACGGGGCUGGGUGGCGGUUGGCGCGGCGGUUUUCGAAAGGUUUUUGGGGAAGGGGGCGUGGCGCACGGUGUGAUCUGGGAAUUGUGUGAUGAUG
rnacentral:lncRNA from 1 species